UUUUAGUAGGAUAGAGUCAGAGAUAAGCAGCGUCGUCUGCAUCAUCUUCUCUUAUCCUCCGCCUCCUCCUGCGCGCUCGGUUACGCAUCUGCAUCCCUCCUCUCUGCGCCUCGGCCUGGUGCAAGAAAGAGCAAGGGAAGGAUCCAAUGGCCAGCGGUGUCAGCAACGGCAAUGCCAAGAGCCUGGCGCAGUGGUUGAGGGAGAACGGGUUCGACGAGGAGACCGUCGCGCGCAUGUCGAGGAGGUGCAAGAAUCUGCAUGGCCUCGACGCCGCCGAGGCCUCCGGCGUCUGGGACUACCUCCUCAACAACGUCAAGAUCGAGCGGCGGAAGCUGCGGCACGUGGUCGCCAAGUGCCCCAAGGUGCUUACCCUGUCCGUCGACGGCAAGCUGAUCCCCACGGUGCAGUGCCUCGCCACGCUGCAGGCCAAGCCGGGGGAGGUCGCGCAGGCCAUCGCCAAGUUCCCCCAGAUACUGUUCCACAGCGUGGAGGAGAAGCUCUGUCCGCUCCUCGCCUUCUUCCAGGCGCUCGGCGUUUCCGAGAAGCAGCUCGCCAAGCUGCUCAUGGUGAACCCACGCCUCAUCAGCUACAGCAUCGAGGCCAAAUACUCACAGACGAUCAACUUCCUUGUCGGCCUCGGCAUCGACAAGGAAGGCAUGAUCGGCAAGAUCCUCACGAAGGAACCGUACAUCAUGGGGUACAGUAUUGACAAACGGCUGCGUCCUACUGCCGAGUUCCUCAAGUUAACAGUCGGGUUACAGGGAUCAGAUCUCAAAAGGGUGAUCACGAGCUUCCCUGAUAUAUUGUCACGAGAUGUUGAGAAGAUUCUUCGGCCCAAUUUAGCGUUCCUGUGGAGCUGGGGUUUCAGCAAGGAUCAGGUCAGGGCAUUGGUAGCUGGAUACCCUCCUGUUCUCAUCAAGAGUGUCAAGCAUUGCUUGGAACCAAGGAUGAAGUUCCUGGUUGAAGAAAUGGGACGGGACAUGGGCGAGGUGGUAGAUUACCCCCAGUUCUUUCGCCAUGGCCUCAAGAGGAGCCUGGAGUACCGUCACAAGGUGCUCAAGCAGACGAACUCAAAGUGCAGCCUCAGCGAGAUGCUAGAAUGUAAUCAGAAGAAGUUUGCCAUGCAAUUUGGUUUGGUUGCAGCAGUUUAGUUCAGGCAUGCUCUCACAUACCAUCUCAAUCAGGUCAGGCAACUCUAGGGCAGCAUCCUUUGCAUAGAAGUGGAGAACUUUAGCCUCACCUGCAGAGGUCAUUCACAGUGACAAUAACUUAAGCAACAUGAGGUUGAAAUGUUGGAAAGUUAGCAAGAGCUUUGGAACUUACAGGUGGAUCUGAAAAUGCUCCGGUUGAAAGAGCAAAGUGAGCAAGUGGCUCUGGAUGAUGAAG